CCUACGGGUGGCAGCAGUGAGGAAUAUUGGUCAAUGGCCGGAAGGCUGAACCAGCCAUGCCGCGUGAAGGUCAGUGCCCUAUGGGCGUUAAACUUCUUUUGACAGGGAAGAGUAGAAGACGGUACCUGUCGAAUAAGCCACGGCUAACUACGUGCCAGCAGCCGCGGUAAUACGUAGGUGGCAAGCGUUGUCCGGAUUUACUGGGUGUAAAGGGCGUGUAGCCGGGUUGACAAGUCAGAUGUGAAAUCCUGCGGCUUAACCGCAGAACUGCAUUUGAAACUGUUGAUCUUGAGUACUGGAGAGGCAGACGGAAUUCCUAGUGUAGCGGUGAAAUGCGUAGAUAUUAGGAGGAACACCAGUGGCGAAGGCGGUCUGCUGGACAGCAACUGACGGUGAGGCGCGAAAGCGUGGGGAGCAAACAGGAUUAGAUACCCUUGUAGUC
rnacentral:rRNA from 1 species